rnacentral:rRNA from 1 species
CGCAUAGAUCCAAGAACCGCAUGAUUCUUGGCUGAAAGAUGGCGUAAGCUAUCGCUUUUGGAUGGACCCGCGGCGUAUUAGCUAGUUGGUGAGGUAACGGCUCACCAAGGCGAUGAUACGUAGCCGAACUGAGAGGUUGAUCGGCCACAUUGGGACUGAGACACGGCCCAAACUCCUACGGGAGGCAGCAGUAGGGAAUCUUCCACAAUGGACGCAAGUCUGAUGGAGCAACGCCGCGUGAGUGAAGAAGGCUUUCGGGUCGUAAAACUCUGUUGUUGGAGAAGAAUGGUCGGCAGAGUAACUGUUGUCGGCGUGACGGUAUCCAACCAGAAAGCCACGGCUAACUACGUGCCAGCAGCCGCGGUAAUACGUAGGUGGCAAGCGUUAUCCGGAUUUAUUGGGCGUAAAGCGAGCGCAGGCGGUUUUUUAA